rnacentral:rRNA from 1 species
AACGAACGCUGGCGGCAUGCCUAACACAUGCAAGUCGAACGAGACCUUCGGGUCUAGUGGCGCACGGGUGCGUAACGCGUGGGAACCUGCCCUUAGGUUCGGAAUAACUCCCCGAAAGGGGUGCUAAUACCGGAUAAUGUCUUCGGACCAAAGAUUUAUCGCCUUUGGAUGGGCCCGCGUUGGAUUAGCUAGUUGGUAGGGUAAAAGCCUACCAAGGCGACGAUCCAUAGCUGGUCUGAGAGGAUGAUCAGCCACACUGGGACUGAGACACGGCCCAGACUCCUACGGGAGGCAGCAGUGGGGAAUAUUGGACAAUGGGCGAAAGCCUGAUCCAGCAGUGCCGCGUGAGUGAUGAAGGCCUUAGGGUUGUAAUGCUCUUUUACCCGGGAUGAUAAUGACAGUACCGGGAGAAUAAGCUCCGGCUAACUCCGUG